rnacentral:rRNA from 1 species
UACGUAGGGGGCGAGCGUUGUCCGGAUUUAUUGGGCGUAAAGAGCGUGUAGGCGGUUCGGUAAGUCUGUCGUGAAAUCCUGAGGCUCAACCUCGGGCGUGCGAUGGAUACUGCCGGGCUAGAGGGUGGUAGAGGCGAGUGGAAUUCCCGGUGUAGUGGUGAAAUGCGUAGAUAUCGGGAGGAACACCAGUGGCGAAGGCGACUACCUGGCCUGUUUCUUGACGCUGAGGCGCGAAAGCUAGGGGAGCAAACGGG